GUUCAAGCUGCUAUUCCUGCAUCUUUCUACCAUUGCAGUUGCUUGUUAAAUGGUGUCUCUGCAGUCUCUUCCUGUUCCCAGCCAUGCAAGAGAGUGCAAUUCAACAGCUAAUGGUUUUCAAACCAGCACACCAGUACUGUGGCUUCUCAGGCACGGCUAAACCACCUGAGACCUUCAGGCCAAAGAUUCCAUUGACCUGGACUCUCCAGGGACAGCUUCAAGCAUUGGCCAUCCUCAAGUCUUCCUAGGUUGGCCCGUCAGGGAGGGGAGUAGACUUCUGAAAGAAUAUGGUUGACCUUGUUAUACAAGAGAUCAGAGAGAGAAGAAAUACAAGAGAGAAUGAGAAGGAAAAGGAGGAGGGAAAGAAAAAGGAAAAGUGGAAUAAACCAAGAGAGAUGUGUCAAGAUGAUAAAAUUGAGGAAUCAGGAGGAUUUUGAACACAGGAUGUCACACUACAGUCUAAACCUUCCUUGUUCACUAAGCUAAACCCUCAUAUUUGGAGCCUACUGAAUGAGAAGAAUAAUGCAAUGUGUUGAAUGCCUACAACACCUCAAGGACCUUUUUUUCAUCUUUUACUUUUUAAAAUUUUAUUGUAGUAAUAACACUUAACAUGAGAUCUACCUUUCUAAAAAAUUGUUAAUUGUAGACUACAUUAUUGUUGACUAUAGGUAUAAUGCUGUAUAGCAGGUCUCUAGAGCUUAUUAAUCUUGCUUGAUUGGAACUUUAUGCACACUGAUUAGUAACUCCUCAUUUCUCUCUCCCCCUAGACCGUGGUAACCACAAUUCCACUCUUUGAUUCUAUGAAUUUGACUAUUUUAGAUACCUCACAUAAAUGGAAUCAUGCUGUAUUUACCUGUGACUGGCUUAUUUCACUUAGCAUAGUGUCCCAAAGUUCACUUACGUUGCCACAUAUUCCAGAAUUUCAUUGUUUAAAAGGCUGAAUAAUAUUUCAUCAUGUGUAUAUACCAGAUUUUCCUUAUCCAUUCAUCUGUCGAUGGACAUUUAGGUUAUUUCCACAUCUUGGCUAUUGUGAAUAAUGCUGCAAUGAACAUAGUUGUGUUAAUAUCUUUUUGAGACCCUGAUUUCAAUUCUUUUGACUAAAUACCCAAGGGUGGGAUUACUGGAUCAUAUGGUAGCUCUAUUUUUACUUUUUUGAGCAACUCACAUACUGUUUUCCAUAGUGGCUGCACCAUUUUGCAUUCCUACAACAGUGUACAAGGGUUCCAAUUUCUCCACUUAUACGUUUGUCCUCACCAACAUAUUUCAGCUUAAAUAAUUUGUUUUUGUUCUCUCUGGUCAACACAUGCAUGUGGCUAAGACUGGUUAUCUGUGCCCAUUUCUAUCUGUUACUUGUCGUUGGCUGUGACCUUAUCAUUUGGGGUUCCAAUGAAGGACGGCCUGGAGCUGGACUGGACCGCAUGGAGCCACUCCAGGCCACAUGGACCCUCUGGCCACUCUGGUCUGGACUCAUUCCUCCUCCCACCAGGACUUAUAAGGAACUGAGCCAGCUCCCAAGGGUAAAGAUAGGUCACUAGGCAGAUGACCAUGUACCUUUAACUGCUGACCCUGAUUUGUGGGUACUGGCUUUGAGGCAGGAUUCUUGUGGCUUCUUUUUACUCUGAGUUUAUAUUUAAGCAAAGAUUAGAUUUGCUGUGUGCCUCUCACUUACACAUGAAAGGUUGGGUGUACAUCAUUGGGUAGUAUCCCACAAAACCAAUGGGCUAUAGAAGUCAAUUGUGCCCUGUAUAAGUGAUCAACUUGGGCAAUCAAACAUUUGAGUGAUAAAAAUGACUAGAAAUUUUGUAAAGGUCAAUUUCAGGAUAUUGACAAGUGUUUGAGCAGCCUUUGCUUGCAAGUAUUAUGCUAGGUAAUUUGGGGGAUACAGAGGUGUGCUAUCAAAGUCUGGAGUGAUGAAAACAACUGGGAUCAGGCUGUGCAGUACUGUACUGAAAACCAAGCCUGCGCUGACUGAAGGUAAUUAGGAAAAGGAGCUACCAAUGGGCAAAUGCUAAGAUGAGAGAGACGGCCACUUCACAGUGCAGUAAAAUGAUCUUUCCUUCUGUCUAUAUGAGUGAUCACUUCUACAUAUUUACAAAACAGAUGCAAUGAUUAUUGGUGGUUUGUGUAGAGUAUGUCUUCGUUGGCCAAAUAAGUUAGGGAAUGCCAGCUUAAGAAAAAUGUAUACAGGUUUCUCUCCCGUAGGACCUUUCCA
rnacentral:lncRNA from 1 species